AGCAGCCGCGGUAAUUCCAGCUCCAAUAGCGUAUAUUAAAGUUGUUGCAGUUAAAAGGCUCGUAGUUGAAUUUCGGGAUCAAUACGUCGGUCGUGCCUCGGUACGUACUAACGUUAUUGAUUUCUCCCUUCUAACAAAUCGUGAUGUCAUUAAUUUGGUGUUACGAGGAGUUAGGACUGUUACCUUGAAAAAAUUAGAGUGUUUAAAGCAGGCAAUCGCUCGAAUACAUUAGCAUGGAAUAAUGAAAUAGGACGUUCGAACCUAUUUUGUUGGUUUCUAGGAUCGACGUAAUGAUUAAUAGGGAUAGUUGGGGGCAUUAGUAUUCAAUUGUCAGAGGUGAAAUUCUUGGAUUUAUUGAAGACUAACUGCUGCGAAAGCAUUUGCCAAGGAUGUUUUCAUUAAUCAAGAACGAAAGUUAGGGGAUCGAAGACGAUCAGAUACCGUCGUAGUCUUAACCAUAAACUAUGCCGACUAGGGAUCGGAUGAUGUUAACUUAAUGACUCAUUCGGGGCCUUACG
rnacentral:rRNA from 1 species